rnacentral:tRNA from 1 species
GGGCCCUUAGCUCAGUCUGGUUAGAGCGCUCGGCUCAUAACCGGGUGGUCGAUGGUUCGAAUCCGUCAGGGCCCA